rnacentral:tRNA from 1 species
GGAGGGUUGGCAGAACGGCUAUUGCGCUGGUCUCGAACACCAGUGGGAGCAAUCCCUUGGGGGUUCAAAUCCCUCACCCUCCGCCA